rnacentral:rRNA from 1 species
GAUGAACGCUGGCGGCGUGCCUAAUACAUGCAAGUCGAGCGAACGGACGAGAAGCUUGCUUCUCUGAUGUUAGCGGCGGACGGGUGAGUAACACGUGUAUAACCUACCUAUAAGACUGGGAUAACUUCGGGAAACCGGAGCUAAUACCGGAUAAGAUUUUGAACCGCAUGGUUCAAAAGUGAAAGACGGUCUUGCUGUCACGUAUAGAUGGAUCCGCGCUGCAUUAGCUAGUUGGUAAGUUAACGGCUUACCAAGGCAACGAUGCAUAGCCGAACUGAGAGGGGGAUCGGCCACCCUGGAACUGGAACGCGGUCCAGACUCCUACGGGAGGCAGCAGUAGGGAACCUUACGCAAUAGGCGGGAGCCUGGCGGAGCAACGCCGCGUGAGUGAUGAAGGUCUUCGGAUCGUAAAACUCUGUUAUUAGGGAAAAACAUAUGUGUAAGUAAAUGUGCACAUAUUGACGGUACCUAAUCAGAAAGCAACGGCUAACUACGUG